UGGAUCCAGACUUUGAUUAUGCUCAGGAUGAACGCUGGCGGCGUGCCUAAUACAUGCAAGUCGAACGAAACUUCUUUAUCACCGAGUGCUUGCACUCACCGAUGAAGAGUUGAGUGGCGAACGGGUGAGUAACACGUGGGCAACCUGCCCGAAAGAGGGGGAUAACACUUGGAAACAGGUGCUAAUACCGCAUAACCAUGAACACCGCAUGGUGUUUAUGUGAAAGGUGGUUUCGGCUACCGCUUUCGGAUGGGCCCGCGGCGCAUUAGCUAGUUGGUGGGGUAAAGGCUUACCAAGGCAAUGAUGCGUAGCCGAACUGAGAGGUUGAUCGGCCACAUUGGGACUGAGACACGGCCCAAACUCCUACGGGAGGCAGCAGUAGGGAAUCUUCCACAAUGGGCGAAAGCCUGAUGGAGCAACGCCGCGUGGGUGAAGAAGGUCUUCGGAUCGUAAAACCCUGUUGUCAGAGAAGAAAGUGCAUGAGAGUAACUGUUCAUGUUUCGACGGUAUCUGACCAGAAAGCCACGGCUAACUACGUGCCAGCAGCCGCGGUAAUACGUAGGUGGCAAGCGUUAUCCGGAUUUAUUGGGCGUAAAGGGAACGCAGGCGGUCUUUUAAGUCUGAUGUGAAAGCCUUCGGCUUAACCGGAGUAGUGCAUUGGAAACUGGGAGACUUGAGUGCAGAAGAGGAGAGUGGAACUCCAUGUGUAGCGGUGAAAUGCGUAGAUAUAUGGAAGAACACCAGUGGCGAAAGCGGCUCUCUGGUCUGUAACUGACGCUGAGGUUCGAAAGCGUGGGUAGCAAACAGGAUUAGAUACCCUGGUAGUCCACGCCGUAAACGAUGAAUGCUAAGUGUUGGAGGGUUUCCGCCCUUCAGUGCUGCAGUUAACACAAUAAGCAUUCCGCCUGGGGAGUACGACCGCAAGGUUGCAACUCAAAGGAAUUGACGGA
rnacentral:rRNA from 1 species